ACAGACUUGAGCAGACUUGAAUUCAACAACCCGAGCUGUGGUGAAAAUGGGUUACUGUGCAAGAUGCAAGGGACCGCAACGUCGCGUGCGCAGAGGCACUGGACACCUCUGUGCCAGCGGAGCACUUGUUCAGGCACUGAUCAGAAUCUUAGCACUUGUUCAGCAAUAACCCUUGGAGCCCUGUGGCAUCCGACCUUGGUGAAAAAGAGACCGGGGAAGUAGAGGAGCAGCAAAUAUCAACAAAGAGGCAAAAGGGAUGCGACCUGGGAGAGCCGAGCUCCCUGUCCAUCACUCGGAAGUGUUGUGAAUGGCUACAAAGGCCCCCAGAGUGAGACUUUGUGGGAUUUCGACGUUGCCAAGAGCAAAUGCAACAUCGCCUUGCAAAGUACUAUGGAGAAGACAAGAAAAUCCCCCCACACACACAUAGGGUAAUAUCAACAAAACUGCUCCAUAAAGGCGACAUUCAUGGGUAGACAAAGCCA